AAUAAACGUGUAGAGCUUACUGGUCGCAACCUUUGGAUGCGGGUUCGAUUCCCGCCGCCUCCACCA
rnacentral:tmRNA from 1 species